rnacentral:rRNA from 1 species
AGUGAACGCUGGCGGUAGGCCUAACACAUGCAAGUCGAACGGCAGCACAGUAUGAGCUUGCUCUUACGGGUGGCGAGUGGCGGACGGGUGAGGAAUACAUCGGAAUCUACUUUUUCGUGGGGGAUAACGUAGGGAAACUUACGCUAAUACCGCAUACGACCUACGGGUGAAAGCAGGGGAUCUUCGGACCUUGCGCGAUUGAAUGAGCCGAUGUCGGAUUAGCUAGUUGGCGGGGUAAAGGCCCACCAAGGCGACGAUCCGUAGCUGGUCUGAGAGGAUGAUCAGCGACGCUGGAACUGGAACACGGGCCAGACUCCUACGGGAAGAAGCAGUGGGGAAUAUUGGACAAUGGGCGCAAGCCUGAUCCAGCCAUACCGCGUGGGUGAAGAAGGCCUUCGGGUUGUAAAGCCCUUUUGUUGGGAAAGAAAAGCAGCAGGUUAAUACCCCGCUGUUCUGACGGUACCUAAAGAAUAAGCACCGGCUAACUUCGUG